rnacentral:rRNA from 1 species
UACAGAGGUCUCAAGCGUUGUUCGGAUUCAUUGGGCGUAAAGGGUGCGUAGGUGGCGCGCUAAGUCAGGUGUGAAAUUUCGGAGCUUAACUCCGAAACUGCAUUUGAUACUGGCGUGCUUGAGGACUGGAGAGGAGACUGGAAUUUACGGUGUAGCGGUGAAAUGCGUAGAUAUCGUAAGGAAGACCAGUGGCGAAGGCGGG